rnacentral:lncRNA from 1 species
UUCAUUGUCAUCCCAAUAUUGACCAUAGGACCCUUUCCUUUGUCUGGCCAACUGGUUAGCAGUUGUGUUAGCUGGUUUGUAACACCCCAAACCCGGCCUAGACGUUAUGACCGGAUCUGACAUGCCACAUCGAAUCGUUCAAAACAUUUUAUAUUGUUGAUCCAGAAAAACUUACUUAGUGUUUUAAAAGAUAAUUUCAUUAUAGG